GCCGGGGUGGCGGAAUUGGCAGACGCGCUAGCUUGAGGGGCUAGUGGGCUUGAUGCCUGUGUGGGUUCAAAUCCCACUCCCGGCA
rnacentral:tRNA from 1 species